AUGCGGUCCCGGGUUCUGUGGGGCGCUGCCCGGUGGCUCUGGCCCCGCCGGGCCGUUGGCCCAGCCCGCCGGCCCCUGAGCUCCGGUAGCCCGCCGCUGGAGGAGCUGUUCGCCCGGGGCGGGCCCUUGCGGACCUUCCUCGAGCGCCAUUCGGGGUCUGAAGCCCACUUGAAGGUCAGGAGGCCCGAGUUGCUGGCGGUGAUCAGACUGCUGAACGAGAAGGAGCAGGAGCUGCGGGAGACUGAGCACUUGCUGCACGAUGAGAAUGAAGAUUUAAGGAAACUUGCAGAGAAUGAAAUCACUUUGUGUCAAAAAGAAAUAACCCAGCUGAAGCAUCAGAAGAAACAGAUGAAAAUGAUUUGAUCCUGGAAGUAACUGCAGGAGUUGGAGGUCAGGAGGCAAUGUUGUUUACAUCAGAGAUAUUUGAUAUGUAUCAGCAAUAUGCUGCAUUUAAAAGAUGGCAUUUUGAAACCCUGGAAUAUUUUCCAAGUGAACUAGGUGGCCUUAGACAUGCAUCUGCCAGCAUUGGGGGUUCAGAAGCCUAUAGGCACAUGAAAUUUGAAGGAGGUGUUCACAGAGUACAAAGAGUGCCAAAGACAGAAAAGCAAGGCCGCGUCCAUACUAGCACCAUGACUGUAGCAAUAUUACCCCAGCCUACUGAGAUUAAUCUGGUGAUUAAUCCGAAAGAUUUGAGAAUUGACACUAAGCGAGCCAGUGGAGCUGGGGGGCAGCAUGUAAAUACCACGGACAGUGCUGUCCGGAUAGUUCAUCUUCCAACAGGUGUUGUUUCUGAAUGUCAACAAGAGAGAUCUCAGCUGAAAAAUAAAGAGCUGGCUAUGACAAAGUUACGUGCAAAACUGUACAGCAUGCAUCUAGAAGAAGAAACAAAUAAAAGACAGAAUGCUAGAAAAAUUCAGAUUGGAAGUAAAGGAAGAUCAGAGAAAAUAAGAACAUAUAAUUUUCCACAGAACCGGGUCACAGAUCACAGAAUAAACAAGACGCUGCAUGAUCUUGAAACUUUUAUGCAAGGAGAUUAUCUACUGGAUGAACUUGUACAGUCAUUGAAGGAAUACGCCGAUUAUGAAUCUUUAGUAGAAAUUAUUUCCCAAAAAGUUUAAGUUGAUUUGUUAUUUAUAGACUUUCGUAGCUUAGAAAAAUUCUACAGUACAUCCACAUAGGGUGAAAAUACCCUUAUUCUCUUAAAAAACAUGAGUUAACACAGUUGGAGGUAAUAUGCAUAUUCUGAAGUCAUAGAUAAUUUACACAGAUCUCUCUCAAUGCAUUAGCAAAAAUCAUACAAUAUACAGAUGGUCCUCGAUUUACAUUGUGGUUAAUUCCCAAUAAACCCAUCAUAAGUUAAAAAUGCAUAAAACGUUAGCAACACAGCAGUCUCCUAAUUAAUGACAGCUUGACUUAACAAUUUUCCAACUUUACCAUGGUGUGAAAGAGGUAUGAUUCCUAAGUCCUAAGGAGCUCCUCAGCUUGAAAUGGGGCUGCAUCCCUAUAAACCCAUCAUAAAGUCAAAAAAUCCUAAAACGUAAGUUGGUGACCAUCUGUAAUCAUGACGUGGUGGUAAAUCUUGGACGCUACCUUACAAUAACUAGACAAAGGAAAACCAUCCUUUGUCCUGUUCUGUGUAAAUAUUUAAUGAAUGAUCAAAACUUCAGUUUAAACAUUAUGAAAAACUUUAAACAUAAAGUAGUAGAAAUAAGACAGUAAAUACUGUAUCCUAAUAUCCAGUCAGGAUACAGAAACCAUACCAUUAACUUGAACAGGGAUAAUUUUAAUAUAAAAAACUGUUAACUGAUAAUGAUAUUAACUUUUAAGAGGGAUGAAAGAGAGCUAUGAUGUCCUAGGACUGAGAGUACCCCAGGAAGGAAUACCCUUGAAAGGGUCUCCCCUUCCCCAUGGUGAAGUCAGGCCUAAUGGAGAGAGUGGCUACAGCCUACUCAGUGAUUGGGAAAUUCCCUGUCUUGCCCUGGGCCAGAGCUGGUGUACCGCUGGUGGAUCAGGUCUUACAAGCAAAGAACCUCACACUCCCGACUGGUAAGCCAGAAGCCUCUUGCUAGGGUGUGAGCAAAACUUGGACAGGAACUCUCAGUAGAUGUUUGUGUUUGUCAAGAUUCUCCAGACAAACUUCCUUAAAAGGAUUGGCUUGUGUUACUAUUAUUAAGUCUAACAAGUCCGAAAGCUGGAGUGUGAGGCAGGAGGCUGGAAACCCAGGAAAGCUGAUGGUGCAAGGUCCAGUCCAAAGGUAUCUGUUGGAGGAUUCUCUUGUUCUGGGAAGAGGACGGUCUUUUUUUCUCUUCAGACCUUCACCUAACUGGAUCAAGCCCACUAACAUCGAGGAGGACAGUCUGCAUUACUCAGAGUUCACUGAUUGAUUUAAAUGUCGAUCUCAUGUAAAAACACCCUCACAGAAACACCUAGAAUAAUGUUUGACCUUAUAAUUGGAAAAUCAGAGCAAAAGUUAAAUCUCUAAAAAAAAAAAAAAAAAAGUAUGACCCAGUAGCUAGGCACCUGUGGCCCUGCCAAGUUGACACAUAAAAUUAACUGUCACAGUAUCAUCUUAGAAGUGAAAGAAGCCCCUUUAUCCUGCAGUGCCCCUCUACCACCACCUACUGACAAAGAACAUGGUGCUAUCUGGCAUGGGAGAAAUGUUCAGUUUGCUAUGGCUUGUAUGUGUCCCCUCAAAUUCAAUUGUUGCCAAUGUGACAGCAUUAAGAGGUGGGGCCUUUAAGAGAUCACUAGGCCAUGAGGGAUUCUCUUAGGACUGGGAUGAAGGCCCAUAAUAAAAGAGGUUUCAGGGAGCAUCCUGCUAGCUUGCCUUCUGUAUGUGAGAACACAGCAAGAAAGCCCUAGUCAACAAGUGCCAGCUCCUUGAUCUUAGACUUCCCAUCCUCCAGAACUGUGAGAAAUACAUUUCUGUUCCUUACAAAUUACCCAGUCUCCUGUAUUCUGUUAUAGCAGCACAAAAUGAAGAUACCAUACCUGAACACCUGAACAUUCUUCACAAGGUAGUAAAUGCACUGCUUUAUUCUGGUCUCAGUAUUGUGUGCUUAAUAAGGAAAUGAAAAAGGGUGGAUCAGGGCAUAGGAUGAACAAGUUACUGCUAGACCUCUCACAAUGCCACUAAUGGAUAAGAUUGUAUUUUCAUCAUUCUUGUCUCUUCGGAAGCUAACACCAUGCUAUAAUAGGCACUAAAUAGAUGUCUAAAAACACUUCAAGUAUUUGUCUAGAAAUCUGGUGCAUUGUUCAGAAAGAACCAAAAUUCAACAUAAUUUCAAAGGGCCUAAAGCACUAGUUAAUCAAAAUUCAUUAGUUUUUAAUGGUACUACCACUCUCAAAUUUAAAAUGUCAUCUUAUGUUCCUCUUCCUCGCAUUGGAUUUAUUGCUAAAACCUGGUAAACACUUUUAAUCCUUUUCAAUUCCAUUACCACUGCUCUUGUCCAGAAUUACUUCGCAGACUAAUAGUCACCUGACUUCUCCCCUGCAUCCUAUUUGCUGUCUAAUUCUGGUUACAAAUAAGUAACUGCCAAACUAAUCUUUCUAAAAAGCAAGACUGAUCUCGUCACUCCUUUGCUCAAAAAUGUAAAAGCUCCCAUUGUCUCCCAAAUAAAACCAGCUUUCCACUGUAUAUACAAUACAUCCA
rnacentral:sRNA from 1 species